UACGUAGGGUGCGAGCGUUAAUCGGAAUUACUGGGCGUAAAGCGUGCGUAGGCGGUUCGCUGUGUCCGAUGUGAAAGCCCCGGGCUUAACCUGGGAAUGGCAUUGGAAACUGGCGGGCUUGAGUGCGGCAGAGGGGGGUGGAAUUCCGCGUGUAGCAGUGAAAUGCGUAGAGAUGCGGAGGAACACCAGUGGCGAAGGCGGCUAUCUGGACGGUUUCUGACGCUAAGACGCGAAAGCGUGGGGAGCAAACAGG
rnacentral:rRNA from 1 species